rnacentral:lncRNA from 1 species
AACUCGAGUGACAAACACUUGGAAACAAACAAUAAUACAGAACUGAAUCCAAACAAAAAAAUAAGUUAUAUCAAAAUGCAUACCAACAGUAUUCAAUUGAUGAUGGGGAUCAAGCUUGCAAGGAUGUUGUUACCUGGAAGAACAAUCACAAAGAUCCAACAUGAUUAAAUGAAGUAAGAUGCCAACAGGGAAAAUGAGCAGCAUUCAUGCACUACAUUACCGUUCAGAGUCAACGCGCCCAGGUUUGUGUUGAUUCUUGUCAAUUCAGGCUGAACCAUAUACUUCCAUUAACCACAAAAUUAAGGAACUGGACCAUUUUGUGUUGUCCGUCCAUAUUCCAUUAUGACAACUCUGAUCUG